rnacentral:rRNA from 1 species
UGGAUUGGAUACCCGGGAAACCGGCGCUACCAUUUAUAAGAAGUUAUUUACUGGAAGCGUCUGUAAGGUUACAACACAAGUCACUGAUAAUUCUGAUGAAUAGUUCAAGUUACUGACAUCUGCCCGGUAUCAAUGAUAAACGGCGGCUGUAUCAUAAACGGUCCUAAGGUAGCAAAAUUCCUUGUCGGGUAAUCUCCGUCCUGCAUGAACGGUGUAACGACUUCCCCAUUGUCGCUAGUGUGAGACUCCUAAUAAAUAGAAUUAUCCAUGAAUAUGUGGAAUCAUACGGCCCGACGGUAAGACCCUGAGCACCUUAACUUCCCUAAAAGUUCUUAUGUGUUGGCAUGGUUACGAGAUUUAAGGAU